GGGUACACGAGCGGCGAACGGGUGAGUAACACGUGGGUGAUCUGCCCUGCACUUCGGGAUAAGCCUGGGAAACUGGGUCUAAUACCGGAUAUGACCUCAGGUUGCAUGACUUGGGGUGGAAAGAUUUAUCGGUGCAGGAUGGGCCCGCGGCCUAUCAGCUUGUUGGUGGGGUAAUGGCCUACCAAGGCGACGACGGGUAGCCGACCUGAGAGGGUGACCGGCCACACUGGGACUGA
rnacentral:rRNA from 1 species